rnacentral:rRNA from 1 species
CCUCGGGAGGCAGCAGUGGGGAAUUUUCCGCAAUGGGCGAAAGCCUGACGGAGCAACGCCGCGUGAGGGAUGAAGGCCUCUGGGCUGUAAACCUCUUUUAUCAAGGAAGAAGAUCUGACGGUACUUGAUGAAUAAGCCACGGCUAAUUCCGUGCCAGCAGCCGCGGUAAUACGGGAGUGGCAAGCGUUAUCCGGAAUUAUUGGGCGUAAAGCGUCCGCAGGCGGCCCUUCAAGUCUGCUGUUAAAAAGUGGAGCUUAACUCCAUCAUGGCAGUGGAAACUGUUGGGCUUGAGUGUGGUAGGGGCAGAGGGAAUUCCCGGUGUAGCGGUGAAAUGCGUAGAUAUCGGGAAGAACACCAGUGGCGAAGGCGCUCUGCUGGGCCAUCACUGACGCUCAUGGACGAAAGCCAGGGGAGCGAAAGGGAUUAGAUACCCCUGUAGUCCUGGCCGUAAACGAUGAACACUAGGUGUCGGGGGAAUCGACCCCCUCGGUGUCGUAGCCAACGCGUUAAGUGUUCCGCCUGGGGAGUACGCACGCAAGUGUGAAACUCAAAUGAAUUGACGG